GUCACAUCUGUGUCUUUCUGUCACCACCUUCGAAGACAGAGAUGUGGUCAAGGAUUUUUCUAAGCAUCCUUUUCCUUCAUUUAACUGCUGCAGAGUUUUCUGAACCCCAAUAUGUCCUGCUGGUCCCUGCCGUGGUUCAGAGUGGAAAUCCACAGAGCGCCUGCUUACAGUUCUAUAACCUGACCGAGCCUGUGACCCUGAGCAUUAUCUUGAAAUACAAUGAACUCCAGACUACUCUGCUUAAGGAGUCUGUGACAAAGAAUGACUUCUUCAAAUGCACCACGUUCACGGUUCCUCCUGCCGGCUCUGACCCUUUGGCUUUCAUCACUUUCUCUGCCAAGGGUGCAACAAUUAACCUAUCUAAGAGGAGGUCAGUGGCGAUUCAGAACAUAGACAACAUUGUCUUCAUCCAGACAGACAAGCCCAUCUACAAACCAGAACAAACAGUAAUGUUCCGUGUUGUCGCUCUCGAUAGCAAUUUCAGACCUGCUCAGGAGAUGUAUCCCCAGAUCAUCCUCAAGGAUCCCAGGGGAAAUCAUAUCUUUCAGUGGCUGGAAACUACAUCUACAAAAAGCAUUGUCCAGCUCUCAUUCCCCUUAACUCAGGAGCCAAUCCUGGGGUCCUACAGCAUUGUCGUCACAAGGAAGUCGGGCCAAGAUGUGUAUCACUCAUUCAAUGUCGAUGAAUAUGUGCUACCAAAGUUCGAAGUGUUGAUCCAAAACCCAAGAAGGGUCUCUCUUUUAGAUCAAGAAUUCAAAGUGAAUGUUUGCGCUUCGUACACUUAUGGACAGCCUGUGCAAGGGAACGUCCAGCUCAGUGUCUGUAAAAUGCAUUACUAUCGUAGAGAAUGUGACCAACAACCCAAGAAAAUAUGUGAAAGAGUCAAUGAACAAUUGGGGAAGGAUGGCUGCCUCACCAAAGCCAUUCCCACUUCAGCAUUCCAGUUAUUUCGGUAUCGUCCAAGGAUGUUUGUUAGCCUUAACGUGGAUGCAGUGGUCACAGAGAAUGGAACAGGUGUGCAGAUUAGCAGCUCUGACUCAAUUUUCAUCUACGAAGGGAGCAAAAGAAUAUGGUUUGAGAACAUGGAUCACUACUACAAAAGGGGAAUCCCUUACUUUGGACAGAUCAACCUGAAAGAUGAGGAAGAGAACCCCAUUGCAAAUGGGAUCAUCCGCCUAGAGCUCAAUGGAAUGUACCUGGCUAACUACACCACAGACAAGAAGGGCUCUGCUCUGUUUUACCUCAACACCUCCAACUUCUUUGAUCCCAGAUUGGAGCUGAGGGCAAAAUAUGUUGACUGUUCAGACUUUGGCUGGACGAACUUUGAGGAACCUCAGGCUGUAUUCCACAUCCAGCGUUUCUACUCCCGCACUAACACCUUUGUUAAGAUUGAGCCAGAGAGAGAGCAGCUGAGCUGUGGCCAGCAGAAGGCAAUCAUGGUGCACUAUAUCCUGAACAAAGAUGGGUAUGGGGAUGCCACUAGUGUGAACUUCUACUACUUGGUGUUGGCAAAAGGCACAAUUGUCCUCAGUGGCACAAAGGAAGUCAACUUGGAACAUGAUUCUCGGGGCAUGUUCACUAUCCAGCUGCCUAUCAGUGAGAAGUUGGCCCCCGAUGCCAGGUUGCUGGUCUACACUGUGCACCCUCAUAGGGAGGUGGUGGCUGAUAGCACUUACCUGAAUAUAGAACGGUGCUUGAAGAACAAGGUCCAGCUGGAGUUCUCUGAGAAACAGGGGCUUCCAGGCUCUGAUGUCAACCUCCACGUUGAAGCUGCUGCCAACUCAUACUGUGCCCUGCGGGCUGUAGACCAGAGUGUCUUGCUUCUGAAUCCUGAGAGAGAGCUCUCUCCAGAGACUAUCUACUCUGAGUUACGUACAGGAAACUUGUAUGGCUAUUACUACCAAGGACUCAACUUGGAAGAUGACAACAGUGAGCCUUGCAUCCCCUAUAAAAACGCCUUUUUCAAUGGCUUGUAUUAUGUGCCCGUGAAUGUUAGUCAUGAUGGUGAUGUCUACAUGAUUUUCAGGGAUCUGGGUCUCAAGAUUUUUACCAACUCUAUGACAAGGAAGCCAGUUGUGUGCAAAACAGAAAAAGCAUGCCCUGAAAAAGAUGUAUUUCAUAAGGAUGCAGAAAACGCAGGGAUUUUUGGUGGUGCUUUCGGUGAUUCAAAGAGAAUAGUAAACACCAUUCGGAAAUUUUUCCCUGAGACCUGGAUUUGGAAGCUAGUUCCCACUAACUCUGCUGGAAAGGCUGACAUCUCUCUCGUCAUCCCUGACACCAUCACAGAAUGGAAAGCCAGCGCCUUCUGCAUGCAGGAUGAUGUUGGGUUUGGCAUAUCCCCAACUGUUUCUCUGACAGCUUUCCAGCCCUUCUUUGUUGAUCCCACUCUGCCCUACUCCAUUGUCCGAGGAGAAAAGUUUAAUUUAAUAGCCAAUGUCUUCAACUACAUGGACAGAUGCAGCCUGAUCAGUGCUGUAUUAGCCAAGUCAGAUGAUUACAAGGCAGAGGUCCUCACCCCAGAGAACAAUGUUGUGAAGUUGUGUGCAAAUGAGAGGAAAACCUACAUCUGGGCUGUGAGCCCACACAAACUAGGUGAAGUGAACUUCACAAUUACUGCUGAGACGCAAUCAAGUGACAAAACCGUUGGGAAUGGUACUUCAGCAAAGGAGAUAGUAUGGAAGGACACGAUCAUCCAAAAGCUGUUAGUCGAGCCUGAAGGCAUCAAAAAGGAGGUGACCCAGAGUGACCUCAUGUGUACAAAAGGCCAAGCAAACUCUGGAGUAAUAUCCCUGAAGCUGCCAGCAAACGUAGUGGAGGGAUCAGCCAGAGCAUAUUUUUCUGUCAUUGGGGAUCUCUUGGGCUCUACCUUACGGAACAUGGAGAAUCUCCUCCACAUGCCCUAUGGCUGCGCAGAGCAGAAUAUGGCUCGUUUCACACCCAAUAUCUACAUCCUGGACUAUCUGAACAAGACAGGGCAGCUGACUAACGAGAUCAGAGUCAAGGGCGUUACAUACUUAGCUAGCGGAUAUCAGAAGCAGUUGUCCUACCAACAUGAAGAUGGAUCAUACAGUGCCUUUGGGGACAGAGAUGAGCAAGGGAAUGUAUGGCUGACAGCCUUUGUGUACAAGUCCUUCGCUGAAGCCACGCGCUACAUCUACAUUGACAGCAAUGUGCAGCAGAGGACCCUGACCUGGCUGGCAAGUAAACAGAACCCAGAUGGUUGCUUCCCAAAGGAUGGGAACCAUUUCAACAAUGCUUUGAAGGGUGGAGACAGUGGACUUUCACUCACAGCCUAUGUCAUUGCAGCUUUUCUUGCAGCUGGACACUCCACCUCGCACACGGUGGUUCAGAAUGGCCUGAAGUGUCUGGAGGCUGUUGAUAGCAAUGGAGUCACCAAUUUGUAUGGCCAGGCCCUCCUAGCCUACACUUAUGGCUUAGCAAGCAAUAAAGCAAAACACAGAUUCUUCUUGGAGAAGUUGGACAAAUCAGCUACCAAACGUGAUGGCUCAGUUUAUUGGGAGCUGGAAAAGAAGCCACCAACAGGCAACUUCCCCUUCUACUUGCGUGCCUCUUCUGCCGAGGUUGAACUGACCAGCUAUGUGCUGCUGGCACUGCUCAACCAAUCCAAUGUGACUCCAAAGGACUUGUCAUACAUGUCUCAGAUUGUGCAGUGGGUUGUCAAACAACAGAAUCCAUAUGGGGGCUUCUCCUCCUCCCAGGACACUGUUGUUGCUAUCCAAGCUCUAGCCAAGUAUGCGCAUCUCACCUUCUCCAAGGAUGGUCAAAACACAGUUGAGAUCAAGUCCAAGAAUCUUUCAAACAAGGUCUUCCAGGUGAACAAUAAAAACCGCUUCCUGCUGCAGCAGACUUCCCUGCCCAGUGUCCCAGGGGAGUACAGGGUGGAAGUGAAUGGCAACGGCUGUGUCUACAUGCAGACAACACUAAGGUACAACAUCCACCUGUCUGGGGAGGACUCUGGGUUUUCUCUCUCUGCACAGCCGACAAAUGCUUCCUGCACAAGCAACUUCCCACCGAAGUUUGACCUUGUCAUCUCGACCAGUUAUGCUGGGAAGCGGAGUGAGUCCAACAUGGCCAUUAUUGAUGUGAAGAUGCUCUCGGGCUUUGUACCUGUUAAAUCAUCCCUGCAGGAGCUUCAGAACAGUCGUGUGGUGAUGCAUGUGGAGACCAAGAACGACCACGUCCUCUGCUACUUGGAGAAGGUUACCCAGAAGGAAAUCCGUUUCUCUUUCAGCAUUGAACAAAGCCUUCCUAUAUCUAAUAUCCAGCCAGCUUCUGUGCAAAUCUAUGAUUACUAUGAAACAGAUGCAUCCAACGUUGCAGUCUACAAUACACCCUGCAAACAAGCUUCCACUUGAAACUGGGGAGGAGGCAGGAAGAGGUAACGGAAAGCCAGAGACCCCAGCUAAGCUUGGUACAAAUUAAAGCUGUGAAAAUCUGAUAUUGAUCCCUUAUUUCCUCUGACAACAUGGAAAAAGCUGUUUCAGAAAUGUCACACUUCUAAUCACAAAGGGAAAACAAUGGCAUUUUUGGUGUCAUCUUUUUUUUCCCCCCCCUCUUCAAUAUGCUUUGAAAUAAAGUCCUCUGAUUA